rnacentral:rRNA from 1 species
CAGCAGCCGCGGUAAUACCGAGGGUGCGAGCGUUAAUCGGAUUUACUGGGCGUAAAGCGUGCGUAGGCGGCUUCUUAAGUCGGAUGUGAAAUCCCUGAGCUUAACUUAGGAAUUGCAUUCGAUACUGGGAAGCUAGAGUAUGGGAGAGGAUGGUAGAAUUCCAGGUGUAGCGGUGAAAUGCGUAGAGAUCUGGAGGAAUACCGAUGGCGAAGGCAGCCAUCUGGCCUAAUACUGACGCUGAGGUACGAAAGCAUGGGGAGCAAACAGGAUUAGAUACCCCCGUAGUCCCUGUCUCUUAUCC